UACGAAGGGGGGCUAGCGUUGCUCGGAAUCACUGGGCGUAAAGCGCGUGUAGGCGGCCCGGUAAGUCCGCUGUGAAAGUCGGGGGCUCAACCCUCGAAUGCCGGUGGAUACUGUCGGGCUAGAGUGCGGGAGAGGCGAGUGGAAUUCCUGGUGUAGCGGUGAAAUGCGCAGAUAUCAGGAGGAACACCAAUUGCGAAGGCAGCUCGCUGGAACGUAACUGACGCUGAGACGCGAAAGCGUGGGGAGCAAACAGG
rnacentral:rRNA from 1 species